UAUCUUUGCUCCCGAAUUGGUUUCGGAAGGCCGAUCGGUCAUUCGGAUUAAAAGGGAAUCGGGUGCAAAUCCCGAACAGUCCCGCUGCUGUGAAACUCCAUCAAUGUUUCUGAUAUAACUACUGCCACUGAGUCUUGCAAGUUAAAAAGAGGGAAACGGGAAGGCAUCGGAAAUAAGGAGUAAGUCAGAAGACCUGCCACUCAUUAAAGGCUGUU
rnacentral:ncRNA from 2 species